rnacentral:rRNA from 1 species
UACGGGGGGAGCAAGCGUUGUUCGGAUUUACUGGGCGUAAAGGGCGCGUAGGCGGCGUGGCAAGUCACUUGUGAAAUCUCCGGGCUUAACUCGGAACGGUCAAGUGAUACUGCUGUGCUAGAGUGCGGAAGGGGCAACUGGAAUUCUCGGUGUAGCGGUGAAAUGCGUAGAUAUCGAGAGGAACACCUGCGGCGAAGGCGGGUUGCUGGGCCGACACUGACGCUGAGGCGCGAAAGCUAGGGGAGCAAACGGG